GGCCACAAUUCUUCUUCUUCCCUGAAAAACCCCAAAGGAAGAAGAGAAAAGCCUCUCAGAUCUCAUCUUAAACCCUUUCUUUUCUCUUAUACUCGCCUUACCCAUGGCUCUACUCGUUGAGAAGACCACCUCUGGCCGCGAGUACAAGGUGAAGGACAUGUCUCAGGCUGACUUCGGCAGGCUCGAAAUCGAGCUUGCUGAAGUUGAAAUGCCUGGUCUCAUGGCUUCACGUGCUGAAUUUGGCCCUUCACAGCCCUUUAAAGGUGCAAAGAUCACUGGAUCUCUGCAUAUGACUAUCCAAACUGCUGUCCUUAUUGAAACCCUAACUGCUUUGGGUGCUGAAGUUAGAUGGUGUUCUUGCAACAUCUUCUCAACUCAGGACCAUGCUGCAGCAGCCAUUGCACGUGACAGUGCUGCUGUCUUUGCCUGGAAAGGUGAGACUUUGCAGGAGUACUGGUGGUGUACUGAGAGGGCACUUGACUGGGGUCCAGGUGGUGGUCCUGAUCUGAUUGUUGAUGAUGGAGGUGAUGCUACUCUGUUGAUUCAUGAGGGAGUUAAGGCUGAAGAGGAGUUUGCUAAGAAUGGAACAGUCCCAGAUCCCACUUCUACUGACAAUGUUGAGUUUCAACUUGUGCUUACUAUUAUUAAGGAGAGCUUAAAGACUGAUCCAUUAAGGUACACUAAGAUGAAGGAGAGACUUGUUGGUGUUUCUGAGGAAACUACCACUGGUGUUAAGAGGCUUUACCAAAUGCAGGCUAAUGGAUCUUUGCUUUUUCCUGCUAUCAAUGUUAAUGACUCUGUUACCAAGAGCAAGUUUGACAACUUGUAUGGAUGCCGCCACUCACUUCCCGAUGGUCUCAUGAGGGCUACUGAUGUUAUGAUUGCUGGAAAGGUUGCUCUUGUUGCUGGUUAUGGAGAUGUCGGCAAGGGAUGUGCUGCUGCCAUGAAACAAGCUGGUGCCCGUGUGAUUGUGACUGAGAUUGACCCAAUCUGUGCUCUCCAGGCUACCAUGGAAGGCCUCCAGGUUCUUCCUCUUGAGGAUGUUGUUUCUGAGGUUGAUAUCUUUGUGACCACCACCGGUAACAAGGACAUCAUCAUGGUUGAUCACAUGAGGAAGAUGAAGAACAAUGCCAUUGUUUGCAACAUUGGUCACUUUGAUAAUGAAAUUGAUAUGCAUGGACUUGAAAACUACCCUGGUGUGAAGCGCAUCACCAUCAAGCCCCAGACUGAUAGGUGGGUGUUCCC
rnacentral:misc_RNA from 1 species